rnacentral:rRNA from 1 species
GACGAACGCUGGCGGCGUGCUUAACACAUGCAAGUCGAACGGAAAGGCCCUGCUUUUUUGGGGUGCUCGAGGGGCGAACGGGUGAGUAACACGUGAGUAUCCUGCCCUUGUCUUUGGGAUAACUUCAGGAAACUGGGGCUAAUACAGGAUAGGAGCUGCUGCUGCAUGGUGGGGGUUGGAAAGUUUAGGCCGUUGGGGAUGGACUCGCGGCUGAUGAGCUUGUUGGUGGGGGAGUGGCAUACCAAGGCUGUGACGGGUAGCCGGCCUGAGAGGGUGACCGGGCUCAUUGCUCCUGCGAUACGGCCCAGUCUCCUACGUUAGGCAGUGGUGGGGAAUAUUGCACAGUGGGCCGGCGCGUGAUGCGGCAGCGCCGCGUUCGUAAUGACGUCCUUCGGGUUGUAAACCGCUUUCGCCUGUGACGAAGCGUGAGUGACGGUAAUGGGUAAAGAAGCACCGGCUAACUACGUG